rnacentral:ncRNA from 1 species
CUCCGAAUGCUGACCACAUAUACACUGGAGUGAGGCCUUGGGUGCUAAGGUCCAAGGCCAAAAGGGAAAGAACCCAGACCAACAGCUAAGGUCCCCAAAUUACUACUAAGUUGAACUAACGAGGUCCGAUUGCCUAGACAGCUAGGAUGUUGGCUUGGAAGCAGCCAUUCAUUUAAAGAGUGCGUAACAGCUCACUAGUCGAGCGAUCGGGCAUGGAUAAUAAACGGGCAUCAAGUAGUAUACCGAAGCUUUGGAUUUGCAGCAAUGCAAGUGGUAGAGGAGCAUUCUAAUUGCAGCGAAGGUAUUCCGUCAGGAGUGCUGGAGCGAUUAGAAAAGCAAAUGUAGGCAUAAGUAACGAUAAGGCAGGCGAGAAACCUGCCCACCGAAAGACUAAGGUUUCCUGAUCAACGCUAAUCGGAUCAGGGUUAGUCGGGGCCUAAGGAGUAGCCGAAGGGCGAAUCCGAUGGACAACUGGUUAAUAUUCCAGUACUUUCUAUAACUGCGAAGGAGAGACGGAGUAGUGAAAGAACCGCGAACUGACGGAAUAGUUCGUUAAAGCCCGUAGAUAUAUCUUUGGUAGGCAAAUCCGCCAGAGAUGUCGAAGGUGAUAGUACCGCAAGUCUUCGGAUGAGUGGAUAGUGUUCCUAAUCAGACUUCCAAGAAAAUCUUCUAAGCUCUAGGUUAUAGAAACCCGUACCGUAAACCGACACAGGUAGUCGAGGAGAGAAUCCUAAGGUGCUCGAGUGAUUCAUGGCUAAGGAACUCGGCAAAAUGGCCCUGUAACUUCGGGAGAAGGGGCGCCUCUAGCAAUAGAGGCCGCAGUGAAAAGGCCCAGGCGACUGUUUAACAAAAACACAUGGCUUUGCUAAAUCGAAAGAUGAUGUAUAAGGCCUGACACCUGCCCGGUGCU